UAGAAAAAACCCCUGUUGCAGCCCCCUUGUUGCAGCGUACAUGUAUUAAUACGCUUCAACAAGCAGUUGGUCAACGCGGGUCAAACCCUUUAAAGGGUUGUUGCAGCGUACAAAUUAAUUGUUCCCUGCAAAAACGUUUGUUGCAGCGUACGUUGUAAAAGCCCCCUGCAAUAGCCCGUUACUGUUGCAGCGUACGUCCUAAAGCCCCCUGCAAUAACACAUUGUAAAAGUCUUUCGCUACAACCCAACCAGGUUUAGUUCAAUUUAGACCAAAUUAAUUAAAAAAACUCUAGAUCUAAAAUUUCAUACUCCCACCUCUCAACUCCCUUCUUCUUCCCUCAGCUUUACUGCGUCGCAAUUAAUGUAACUUCCUCGUCGGUGGUUCUCGCCUCCUCGCCAGUCGCCGGUGGGUCCUCUUUUCUCGCCUCCUCGUCAGUCGCCCUAGAGCUGAACUUAGAAUUCUUUCAAUCUGAAAAUUUUCAAAGCUUGCUCAAAUUGACCUUCCCCCUUCUUCUUCUUCUUCCCUCAGAUCUCCUCUACAGACCGGCAAACACCACACUCAGUGGCGGACGUGAGGGCAUACCCAGACGACCACGCACACUUCUUUUUCUCUCUCCUCUCACCUAUACCGGAAAAUAAAACCCUAGAAGUCAUGGGGAUGUUCCCGUGUUUCAAUUGCUCAAUAUUCUGACAAAUUCGUUCCAAAGUUAGCAGGUCAAGGAGGUUUCAGAAGAUUGGAGUUGGGGUUCCCAUCUGCUGCAAAAGAAAUGCAUUGAUUGAUUUUGAGGAAAGAACAAGCGCAAAUGAGAUUGUUGAUGUGGCUUCUAUUUUGGGGUUGGACCGUGAUAUUUCUGAUCAUGCUUUCCAGUUGUUUAGGGAUUGUUCUUCUGCUACUUGUUUGAGGAAUCGUAGUGUUGAAGCUCUUGCUACUGCUUGCCUCGUUCAGGCUAUUCGUGAGGCCCAGGAGCCCCGUACCCUUCAGGAAAUCUCAAUAGCGACGAACCUCCCUCAGAAAGAGAUUGGAAAGUAUAUCAAGAUCCUGGGUGAAGCUCUACAACUCAGUCAACCAAUUAAUAGCAAUUCUAUAGCUGUACAUAUGCCUAGAUUUUGCAACCUUCUCCAGCUUAAUAAAUCCGCUCAGGUACUUGAAAACUCCUGCUGAUAUUUGCUAAUACGCAUCGGUGGCUGAUAUAAUAUGUAUACUUUUGGAAACUGGUAGGCAUUUCACCCAGCUGAUAUGCUAAUAAGAGUAAAUUAUGAAGAAUCAUAAAACUUCUGAGAUACCAUCUUUACAUUGUAAUAUUUGCUCCUUUCCUGCUUUUGCUUCUUAUAAUUGAAGGAUUUUCAACAUUGAUCUUGCUAGUUCAAUGGACUUGAGUAACACAUUUCAUUAUUUCAAUAUUUAAUGCUGUUAAAUCAUCUGUUGGCUCAUGGCUGUUGCAUUAUAAUCAGAAAUGGGGAAAGCUUGUUGCUUGUCAAAAUUGCCUUGAAUUGUGCU